rnacentral:misc_RNA from 1 species
AACGCACAUUGCGCCCUCUGGUAUUCCGGGGGGCAUGCCUGUCCGAGCGUCAUUGCAACCCUCAAGCACGGCUUGUGUGAUGGGCGCCCGUCCCCCUGGGGACGCGCCCGAAAUGCAGUGGCGGCGUCGCGGUUUCCGAUUGCCUGAGUGUCUGGGGCUUUGUCACACAUUCAUGGUUAGGACCGGCGUCGGCCUUGUUCAAUCUAUUUUUCUAGGUUGACCUCGGAUCAGGUAGGGAUACCCGCUGAACUUAA